GUGUCUCUUAGCAAAAUUCAGCAAAACUGUGUUGCGUUGACGAGUGUUUUUGACAAGUUUUUCGGCGUCGUACAAACGAUUGUUGCAUCGCAAUGAGACUGUUAAAUGAAUGUGAUGAAGUACAUUCAGAUUUCAUUCAGCGGAAAAGUUUCGGAUUUCUACGUUAUCCAAGACAAGAUUCAUACGUACUGACUAUUUGGAUAGAAAAGGACACAAAUAUCAUGUCCCGUCAUAAAAGUGUACCGAUUAUCUGAUGACAAACACGAUGAUGCGCAAUAUUUUGAAGAAUCC